AGUUCAAGAAAGAAGAAAAUCUAUCAAGCUUCUUGAGUUUUUUAACAUUCUUGUUACAUUACUGAGAUUCAAGAUAAGGCUGCAAUAGAAAUCGAAAAAACAACAAAAAUGAGAAACAAUGUCACAAAUGUUGUAGAAUUUGCAAACGGCGUGAGUGAAGAAAGCCUAGAAAAGAUGCAGAAUCUUCAUGCAGAUUUCAACAGAACUAUCAUGCAGUUCCAGUGGAUGAAACUUUUAGGUGGAAACAAUACCAUCAGACGCCAGAUUUAUAUGCUUUGCGGGGUGAUGAUGUAUCUAUUGGAUAUGAUGUGAAGAAAGGAGAUUACCAUACCUUAUCAGCCAUAUGCAAUAGGCAGGGUCAAGUUUGAUGCACUCGAACCAGAAAGAUGGUUUCAUCACAUUGUUGCUUUCAUCCACAAAGCUUCUUUAAGUUUACAGCUUUGCAGGAUAGUAAAAAUACAACCCAUAUUGAUCAUUCCUUUUUCGUUCAGAUCAUGUAACUGAACCAUUGAUUUGUAAAAUUUUAUGUGGUCUGGUUUAACAGUCAACACCUUCAAGUUAUGUCAUAUGACCAAACCAAAAGUUUUAACAUGAUUUACUAUUUUGAUGAAGAAACACAAGAGGGACAGAGAAUUUGUUUGGCUCAAGAAUUUGCGUAUGUGCUGCAGAUGAAGGAAGAUCUUUGCUUCUAUUUAAGUUGAUCCAUGAUCUAGCAUACUCGUAUUUGGUGCAAUUAGACACACGGAAGUGGAUUGGAAAAUGGUUCAGGCUAAAAAAGGAUUAACUUUCAGUACGUUUGAAGUUAUAUGGGGGAUAAGUAUUGGACAUAAACGUCUCAACGAGCCACACGCAUGGACAAAUGCUAUAGGCGGGUUUUCCCAAAUCUCGGCACCCAAUUUCGUCAUCUAGAGCUCCAAUUUUGAAGCCAAGGCUUUUAAUUUCAAGGAACCCUUUGAGCGGUUACAAGUUGCGUCUGAUGGCACUUGGCAUUCAUGGGCUAAGUUACGCACCUCCGAUAGGAACUUAUAACCAAUAAAGAAUUAAUGGAACUUGCCUUU